GAUGAACGCUGGCGGCGUGCCUAAUACAUGCAAGUCGAGCGAACGGACGAGAAGCUUGCUUCUCUGAUGUUAGCGGCGGACGGGUGAGUAACACGUGGAUAACCUACCUAUAAGACUGGGAUAACUUCGGGAAACCGGAGCUAAUACCGGAUAAUAUUUUGAACCGCAUGGUUCAAAAGUGAAAGACGGUCUUGCUGUCACUUAUAGAUGGAUCCGCGCUGCAUUAGCUAGUUGGUAAGGUAACGGCUUACCAAGGCAACGAUGCAUAGCCGACCUGAGAGGGUGAUCGGCCACACUGGAACUGAGACACGGUCCAGACUCCUACGGGAGGCAGCAGUAGGGAAUCCUCCGCAAUGGGCGAAAGCCUGACGGAGCAACGCCGCGUGAGUGAUGAAGGUCUUCGGAUCGUAAAACUCUGUUAUUAGGGAAGAACAUAUGUGUAAGUAACUGUGCACAUCUUGACGGUACCUAAUCAGAAAGCCACGGCUAACUACGUGCCAGCAGCCGCGGUAAUACGUAGGUGGCAAGCGUUAUCCGGAAUUAUUGGGCGUAAAGCGCGCGUAGGCGGUUUUUUAAGUCUGAUGUGAAAGCCCACGGCUCAACCGUGGAGGGUCAUUGGAAACUGGAAAACUUGAGUGCAGAAGAGGAAAGUGGAAUUCCAUGUGUAGCGGUGAAAUGCGCAGAGAUAUGGAGGAACACCAGUGGCGAAGGCGACUUUCUGGUCUGUAACUGACGCUGAUGUGCGAAAGCGUGGGGAUCAAACAGGAUUAGAUACCCUGGUAGUCCACGCCGUAAACGAUGAGUGCUAAGUGUUAGGGGGUUUCCGCCCCUUAGUGCUGCAGCUAACGCAUUAAGCACUCCGCCUGGGGAGUACGACCGCAAGGUUGAAACUCAAAGGAAUUGACGGGGACCCGCACAAGCGGUGGAGCAUGUGGUUUAAUUCGAAGCAACGCGAAGAACCUUACCAAAUCUUGACAUCCUUUGACAACUCUAGAGAUAGAGCUUUCCCCUUCGGGGGACAAAGUGACAGGUGGUGCAUGGUUGUCGUCAGCUCGUGUCGUGAGAUGUUGGGUUAAGUCCCGCAACGAGCGCAACCCUUAAGCUUAGUUGCCAUCAUUAAGUUGGGCACUCUAAGUUGACUGCCGGUGACAAACCGGAGGAAGGUGGGGAUGACGUCAAAUCAUCAUGCCCCUUAUGAUUUGGGCUACACACGUGCUACAAUGGACAAUACAAAGGGCAGCGAAACCGCGAGGUCAAGCAAAUCCCAUAAAGUUGUUCUCAGUUCGGAUUGUAGUCUGCAACUCGACUACAUGAAGCUGGAAUCGCUAGUAAUCGUAGAUCAGCAUGCUACGGUGAAUACGUUCCCGGGUCU
rnacentral:rRNA from 1 species